rnacentral:rRNA from 1 species
UACGUAGGGUCCAAGCGUUAAUCGGAAUUACUGGGCGUAAAGCGUGCGCAGGCGGCUUCGCAAGUCAGACGUGAAAUCCCCGGGCUUAACCUGGGAAUGGCGUUUGAAACUACGGAGCUGGAGUGUGGCAGAGGGAGGUAGAAUUUCACGUGUAGCGGUGAAAUGCGUAGAUAUGUGGAGGAAUACCGAUGGCGAAGGCAGCCUCCUGGGCCAACACUGACGCUCAUGCACGAAAGCGUGGGGAGCAAACCGG